rnacentral:lncRNA from 1 species
AGAUUUGUCUGGUCACUUCCCCACCGCCCAUCACAAUUCUCCCCCGUUCCCCAUCCUACCAUGGUCGUCAGCUUCCUCUCUCCACCGCCGGCUCUCCCAGGUCAGGCCGCCACUCCCCUUCGUCCCCACUGCCGGCGCGAGGUCCGCAGCCCCUGCUCUUCCUCCUCUUCAUGUUGAAUCUGGUCGCGGAAGUGGCCGAGGAGGCCCUCGAGCUCGGCAUGCUCGCGCGAGCAAUCCAACGGUAGGCGCCGUCAGAGGCGGACGCGGAUGCACGGGACUCGCACGCCCCUGCUCUACCCUGCUCCCUCUUCGAGUCUGGUCGCCGAAGUGCUCGAGGAGGCGCUAGAGCUCGGCAUGCUCGCUGGCGAAGCCGGCCCCUUCUCUCCUCCUGAUGCGAGGGAGGUCCCCCAUCGCCCCCACGGACAAGGCGCGGAUGGAGGCGUACCAGAAAGUGCAGGAGUUCGACUUGUCCAGCGGCGCUGAUUGGAAGACGACCGCCAAGCACAAAGGAGAGUUUGGGUGAGCAUUAAGCAGUUAACUAAUUUCUAGGGGUCAUGAGCCCCGACAGUCGUUGUUCGAGGAAAGCUGAAGCGAAUAGCACAUCUCGUUGCAAAUUUAUCACCAUACACCAGUAUGAUUGAUAUAUGAUAUGGGAUGGGAUAGGAAUAGACACUGCUUGAAUGUUAAAAUUUAUAUGUAAUUCUUUUUCUGUCACCGAUGUUUCACUGGUAUAAUCUAUCAGUUGAGUUUGACAUAGAACCCUGUUCGUGGAGCACACGGAUCAUGGAAAAAUUAUGGUGCGUUUUGUUCUAUUUUAUUUGCCUAAGAACCAUACCCUUCUGCCAGGAAUUACCCACUAAUUCUGUGAGAAUCCUACUCCACUAAUUCCAAGCCAUGAGAGGAUUUUCCUUUCUCAUAUUGAGAUAGCAAUAGCAGUUGACUUAAAUCUUAGAUAUGAGACUCUCAUUUUGUUCACGUUCAACAAAUCAUGUCUGGACUGAAGCUAGGAAAGUUCCCUGUGUGUUCUAAUAAUAAGGUCAUGGGAAUACAAAUGGCAUAUUUUGUCAGGAUGAGAAGGCGAGUCUAAGAUCAAUAUCUGCUUGGGGGCCAUGGCGUGUUCUGUGCGGCAUUGCCCUCGCCGCCGCCGCCGCCCGGGGCGCCGUGUCUCAUGCGUCGCUACCUGACGUCCACUCUAGGAGCUGGGCUUGGCUGCCAAUGGGGCCAAGAAGGUCCCAUAUCGGAGGUCCCUGCUUGCGAACUCGUAGUUAGUUUGCAUGAUACAGUUAGUAGAAGUUGUUCCUUAAGUAGAGUGUGAUUAAUCACGUAUGGCCAUUAAUACAAUCAGAUCGUUGGGGCAUGCAUAAAUAUACUUGAAUUUUAAAUUAGCAUGUCAAGAGGUUUAGUUAGUGUCGCUCCCUACUGUAAUUAUAGCUGGAUAUGUCGUUCCUGUACUUAAAACUUAUCAAUCAGAUGUACAGAAAUUUGGUAGAUAAGCUGACGUUUGAAGGGGCAGUAAACAUUAAACAUUUCAGAUGGUGAUUGGGAAUAUCUGAUAUGUCCUGAUUGUGUGUUUCCUGUUGUAGAUAAAUCUGCUUGCAAGGCUCUCGAUGAUGUAUUCACUUUCAACAAUUGCACCAGGGUGUGGUCAGUUGGAGAAGACAUUACUAUGAUUGUUUUUUCAGGUGAUAAAUUGUAACCUUAUAUCCUUUAUUACUUGAAAUCCAAAAUCAUUGAAAACAGUCCGUAAUUACUUUGGAGAGAAUCCUUUAUUAUUUUCUGUCUUGUUCAUGUUCAGCAUAGGAUGUAUAUCAUUAAAACCAUCAUGGUAUAUUAUUGUUCAUGUUCAGCAUAGGAUGUGCUUUGUCAUAUGUUAGACAAUUGCUGCCUAUAUGUUAUUAGUAUAUAGACUGGAAAUAUUUUUCUAGAUUGAAACUGCACGUCUAGAUCGAAAAUAAGCUAUUUAUGGUAUGGUUACCCAAGUAUAACAGCUACAGUAUGUCAGUACUGAAUCUCGUCCUGAGAUCAAUCAGCAAAAGUUCGUAAUUGCUGAUAUAUUAGACGGACUGCUAUUUCAUAGAACUGAAAAGAAUACGUGUCCACUGUUCUCCCAAAGUUUCUCUUUGGCCAAUAUAAAUUGAUAUGUCUAAAGUUCCAAGUGAGAUAUGAAAUAAAUGCACAUGAACAAAUCUAGGGGUGUAGUGUUCUUAUGGUAUUUUUAGCUGGGGGUGCUUUUUUUCAUGGCUAGGUAUAAACUGAAAUUUGUGCACUUAAAAUCCAGAAUCUGCUCAUUCUAUUCAAAACAUAGUCUAUUUGAACAUUGAUUUAGAUAGAGGCAUGAAGCGCACCAUUUAGAUAGAGAAUGCGUAAAUGAGGGCUAAAUACAUAUAUGUCAAGUUGAAAAAUCCGAAACCAAAUUAAAACUGUAGCACAACCAACUAAAAGAAAGCUCGCUGGAGUCAGGCUCGAGCUCAAUCCAUGAGGCAUGCUAGAAUAUGAACACAAAGAGCACUACUAUAUAUAUCAGCUCCAUGAGCAUUUGUUGUAAAAAAACGCAUAAGAAGCCUACUUCGAAAGCUAGCAAGACCAGCAUUAUAAGAAUCAAAUUAAUAUAGUAAUCAGAAUUAAUUAUAUAAGAAUAGUCUAAUAUGUUGUCCAAAAUCAUAGGAUAUAAGAGUUCACCGUUGUGUUCAUCACUUUCAUAGUUUCUACUUCUCACCAUAUCAUCAUUCAAUUCUGAGUCCACUAAAAUGGUAGAUAAUUUUGUUGUAAAGUGUGUCCUAUGCUCCUACCAAAUACAUAGUAGUAAUCAGAAUUACCCAAAAUAUAGUAAUCGGAAUUAAUUAUAAAAGAAUAGUCUAAUAUGCUUUUGCCAAGUAUUAAUUAGAAUUAGUCCACAAAGAACAAUGGUGGGGAUUCCAAGUGAAAUAUACAUGCUCCAAAUAGUCAAAUGAAACAUUCCUAUCCAGAAGUUUAACAUCCAUAAACACCAAUAUAAUCCACCUACGUGAUUACAAAUUGAUUAGACAUUUUAAUUUGAUGGAAAGAAAGAUAAAUAAACAUGAAUAAUUAAAUAGCUUUAUGGUGUUUCAGCUGAAACACAAACAUGGUGAGCAGCCUGACCGAAACUAACACACUCACUAUAGAACCGCCCAAUCCCAUUCACGUCCCCUCCAUCGCUAGCGAGCUUGCUGCCACAAUCAUCACUGUCCCCGCCAGCAAAUUGCUGAAGAUACGAGAUUUACUGGAAAAUUUGUGAUUUCUCACUGAAUGAUAAAUCAAGUUCUAUUUCCACUGCUUCUAUAGAUCAGAACAAAGACAGAUAUUGAAUACUCAUGCUUCUGGGCAUUCUAUUGAAUCUCAAUUGUCAAUAACUAAUCUUUAGAAGGCAAAAUAUAUAGAGAAAGAAAAUUGUGGGGUCUUGAGCUAGAUCCAUGGAUAUUCUCACUGGCCGCCGCAACUUUCUCUUGCUAGCGGGAUAUGUUUUGCUUCUUUAGAUACUCUGCUUUCUUCUUAUCAAAUGGUCAUGGCAUAUCAGUAUCUACUCUGUAACUAUUCGUCAGAUUGCGUUUCUCCGAACUGAUGGUUAGUAAUUAACUAAUUACUCCAUUAUCGGCUCCAGAUUUUAGCCUAACAAUGGAGGCAAUGAAGUUAGUUAUGAGUAUUAGAUGUUUGGGACAAAUAGCUGCAAUACAAGGUUAGUCCCUGCGAAUUGACUGACCUUUUGCCGUGUGUUUACAUUUGCAUAUAUGUUGCACAUGGUAAAAUAUCGACCAAAUAAUAUUAUGAGAUGACAUGGUUAGAUUAAAGAAAAACUAUAUAAGGUAAGAUGAAGUACAUGCAUUAACCUAUUGCCGUUGUGUUUGUUGCAUAUUUAAAAGGGACACGUGUUAGCAUAAUCGACCCAGAGAUGAGAGGAUGAUUUCGCCACAGUUUUCUUAGCCUAGUGGGAUUUAAAUUCUUUUUCAAGGUAUUCUCUCUACUUCAAGGUAUUAUUUUUCAAGGUAUUCUCACAGCCCACCAAAAUGAAUAAAAUCCAGUAUAAUAAAGAUGCUACAAUAGUUUUCCGGACUCAAUAAUAUGGAGAUGUUACUAACAAACUACAAACUUAUCACCCCAUAGUAAUUUAACUACAACCCUAUACAUACUACAAACUUCGUUCAAAAUACAUACAGCCGACUGACAACCAUCCAAUACUCCUAGUCUUAUACAUACUGCACACACUCGUAAACAAAACCCUCAUUAAAACAAUACAUCAAGCAGCAAUAUAUUUUGGUCCAGUGAUGGUGAAGACUGAACACCCCCAUCCUGAAGGAAGUGACCGAGCUAAGUAGAGUUUAUAGUUUUCAAUUUAAGUUUGUGCAUAGACCAGCUAAUGUUGCUGCUGACCUGCAUGCAAAAAAUGCUUUGCCUCAGCGGCAAAGGUGUGCCAGAAUAAAUAAUGAAUCCUAGCUUCGUUUUCAGCCUUCAGUAUGACUAUAACUAUGUACUUAUUCAGUAAUGAGAAGCUCCUGAUUCGGAAAAAGGUGCACGUGCAUGAAACAAGGAUGUAGCAAAACAAACAUAUAAAUACUGUCAAAUUCUUCAAACAGAAUAAAAAUAAAUAGAUGGAGCAGCACAUCUCUGUUUCUGAGAAGUACACGAGCUGCAAAUUUCAUAUUCAGGAAAGAAGUAAGAUUCUGUGAAUUUGAUGAGGCAACACUAACCUCAUCAAAGCUUUCCCCAUCAUGAAUGGCCUGUUAGUGUCUCUCUUCCCUGAACGGUUUAAAGAGUUGUUCUUGUAUAUGAUUGCUAAGCACGGCCCUUGGCAGAUCUUUAGCCCCAAGAACAACACUUUAGGGCAAGUACAUUUUGCUUCUUUAGAAUCACCCCUUUUGAAAUUAAAAAGGGCACAAAUUUGAUGCUUCCAGCGUUCACAUUUGUCACACAUAACCCACCUUAGAGCCAAUCAAUUAGAACAAAUUAGCAUGAACAAAAAGAGUUUAGAGAAUUCAAGUAUGAAGGUUAGCCUUAGGAAAUUGAUUACCUUUCCACCUGAAUCGUGCAACUGCGAGCCUCAUUCUAACACAGGAUACAGAAAUUGUGGCAAAUCUCAGUAGCAGCAGCAGUAUAGUAUGAUGCACUUCGUUUUAUCCGAGCAACACAGGGAGAACAAUAAAUUGGUGGAGGCUCAAAAUAAAGAUUAUCUACUUUGCAAACGAAACUUCUUGAUAGAACAUGUUGCCUUAUGCCUCUUUCCAUAUCCUCAAUGACUGAAUAAUCAUAAUUUCCUCAAUCCACAUAAUUGAAUGUUAUGUGUCACUGGACUCACACCCUGGCCAACACAGCAACAACAUCAUCAGGUCAUUUGCAGCAAGAAACACGUCGGUAUACAACAAACCAUAGCAGCAUAUUACAAGAUACAAGCGCAAAGCAGCAGCAGGACAUCAGCGACAAGCACCCAGCGACAUCAAGCACCCACACAACACACACACCCACACGCAGCAAGCAGGGCGGGAGGACCGGAGAACAUAUACCUUGCCGGCGACGGGAUUCCUGGC